GGCGAAAGGGUGCGUAACACGUUGGUAAUCUACCGUGAAGUUGGGAACAACCUGCCGAAAGGUAGGCUAAUGCCGAAUGUGGGUCACACUGGAUAACUGGAGUGGCCUAAAGCCGGGGACCGCAAGGCCUGGCGCUUUACGAUGAACCUGCGGCCUAUCAGCUAGUUGGUGAGGUAACGGCCCACCAAGGCGAUGACGGGUAGCUGGUCUGAGAGGACGACCAGCCACACUGGAACUGAGACACGGUCCAGACACCUACGGGUGGCAGCAGUCGAGAAUCUUUCACAAUGGGGGAAACCCUGAUGGAGCGACGCCGCGUGGGGGAUGAAGGGCUUCGGCUCGUAAACCCCUGUCAUUCGUGAGCAAAGC
rnacentral:rRNA from 1 species